rnacentral:rRNA from 1 species
AGCGAACGUUUGCGGCGGGCCUAACACAUGCAAGUCGAACGCACUAGCAAUAGUGAGUGGCGCACGGGUGCGUAACACGUGGGUAAUCAACCCUUCAGCUUGGGAUAACGACUUGAAAGGGUCGCUAAUACCGGAUACGGCGCGGGAGGCUUCGGCUUCUCACGAGAAAGCCUCGCAAGGGGCACUGAAGGACGAGCCUGCGGCCCAUCAGCUAGUUGGUGAGGUAAGAGCUCACCAAGGCGAAGACGGGUAGCUGGUCUGAGAGGAUGAUCAGCCACACUGGAACUGAGACACGGUCCAGACUCCUACGGGAGGCAGCAGUGGGGAAUAUUGCGCAAUGGGCGAAAGCCUGACGCAGCCACGCCGCGUGAGCGAUGAAGG